rnacentral:rRNA from 1 species
GCCCGCACAAGCGGUGGAGCAUGUGGUUUAAUUCGAUCAACGCGAAGAACCUUACCAGGGUUUGACAUAGUACGAAGUUUUUUGAAAAAAAAACCACCUUCGGGAACGUACAUACAGGUGGUGCAUGGCUGUCGUCAGCUCGUGUUGUGAGAUGUUGGGUUAAGUCCCGCAACGAGCGUAACCCUUGUUUUUAGUUGCCUUUCGAGGAUAUUUAGAAAGACUGCCGAUUAUAAAUCGGAGGAAGGUAAGGACGACGUCAAGUCAUCAUGCCCCUUACACUCUGGGCUACACACGUGCUACAUUGGGUAGAACAAUAAGUUGCUAAGUUGCGAAACCAAGCGAAUCUUCAAAUCUACUCUAAGUUCGGAUUGUAGGCUGCAACUCGCCUACAUAAAGAUGGAAUCGCUAGUAAUCGCUGGUCAGCUACACAGCGGUGAAUCCGUUCCCGGGCCUUGUACACACCCCCCGUCACACCAUGGGAGCGGGUU